CCGAAGCAGGGAUCGAAACACUGUCUCGGAACACUUCCGCUUCAAACCCUCGGCACUGUGUCGAGCAAACUGGCUCGAGCGUAACAUCACUAUUUAUUACAGGUAUCGUUAUCACUAAAGGAGGCAGAAGAGUAACUAAACAUGUGACACACUGAGCAGGAAAGAGAAGGAGAGGAAGAGGGAGAAGCCAUGCUAACUGCUAAGUGCUAGGCUAGCGGACAGAGAUAACAGAUUAACUUAGAAUUAAGUACUGAGAGGGUUCGUGAAGAAAACGAGUGUAUGUUACGAUUCAAAUAUUACCGCUACACAGAUUUAAUGAAUAUCAAAUUAGAUGGAGUGGAUAAGCUGCAACAGUCACAGAACACAACACAGCGCUACAACAGGAAGUGACGCAAUACGCUCACCGUAACGUCAGACGUCAGCAGGGAAUGCAGAACCGGCUGUCUGGCCAGAGAGGACCGCUGGAAAAGAAGCUGGAGGAGAAGCUGGAGCAGAAGCUGGAGGAGAGGAUAGCCGCCAUGGAAGCAAAAUUAAACACUUUCUCCGGCAGCGAGGAAAUUCAGCGGAAAAGAGGAGAGCACAGUCCUAAAAUUGCGACUGGGCUCGCCUCACAAUGAGACAGUCAGGACAUAUUUAGUUAAAACUUUGGCUGAAGUCCAGAUGUGGAGGAUGUGGAGACAGACGUCCUUCUAUCUGAUUGUAAAAAGCAUUUUGAAACUCUACGGAGGAACUACCGCUACAGUCAACCCAACAUGGCGGAUCAGGCGGAGGCCAUAAAGGCUUCUGCCCCGAGUCGCCACAGAAGAAAGAGGCUGCUGGAUGCCAGGAAGACAGUCCUUGCUCCAGAUGAAGAGAACUUCUGGAAGGGCAUCACAGCUGACAUGAUGUCAGAUGAGGAGGACGGCAGCGUUGACGGGGUGCGUGGAUGGAUAGUACGGCCUCCAUCCUUCCACAGCCAGGAGCUAGCCAACCUGUGUGCAGCCCUACAGGCUGGAGGCUGAUGUAAAGUACACAGCUCUACAUGACAGGUGUUUUCACAAUGGACAGCCGUCUGAUAGACUGAAGCCACUGAAGUUCAACACGGCAGCAGCCAGAAAACAUUUUAAGCCAGAGCUGAUGCUUGAGACCAGCCUGGAGUGAGAGAUGAACUUGGCCAUUGUUUUGUUUUUGUUUUGAAAUGUGUGUGUGUGUGUGUGUGUGUGUAUAUAUAUAUGUGUGUGUGUGUGUGUGUGUGUGUGUGUGUGUGUGUGUGUGUGUGUGUGUGUGUGUGUGUGUGUGUAUAUAUAUAUACAUAUAUAUAAAUCAUUUUUUUGGUUGAACUUUGUACAAUUUUAUUUCAUUUUUUAAAAUUUUUGGGAAAUUUUUUGUUUUUAAAGACAGUUUAUUUUAAUUUUGAUUUCGGAUUUCUGGAACUCUAGACUGUUCAAUAAAGCUCUUGUUUUUCAA